GAUUCACAAAUUCACUGCCUUGAUCCACUUGGCUACAUCCGCCC
rnacentral:tRNA from 1 species